rnacentral:lncRNA from 1 species
AUGAGAAGGUGGAUUCUUUACCAGCUGAGCUACCAAGGAAGCCCAAUCUUUCCUAUUCCCUACCAAAUGAAAGGAUAUUUGGCAUCUUCUGGAAGAGGAAUCAAGGGCAUGUCAAACAUGGGCCAACAAACAUUGUUGGUGCAAGUUCCUGUGCCCAACACAUGGUUUUCAUUGGUUCAACAUAAGUGGCUGCUCCAGACUUUGAACAUCUUCAGUGAAACCUUGUGAGAAGGUUUAACCUUUCUCUGGUCAAGUAUCAAAACUCCAAGUGAAUUGGAACACUUAGAACAUAACUAUUCUGACAGGAGGCACUAUUUUCAAGGUAUGAAAAUGAGUUUUGCAUGUAGUUUUGCAUUAUUGUUCCAGGACAUAUUAGAUUCAUAACACUGGAC